rnacentral:rRNA from 1 species
AUUGAACGCUGGCGGCAUGCCUUACACAUGCAAGUCGAACGGCAGCACGGGUGCUUGCACCUGGUGGCGAGUGGCGCACGGGUGAGUAGUACAUCGGAACAUGUCCUGUAGUGGGGGAUAGCCCGGCGAAAGCCGGAUUAAUACCGCAUACGAUCCACGGAUGAAAGCGGGGGACCUUCGGGCCUCGCGCUAUCGGGUUGGCCGAUGGCGGAUUAGCUAGUUGGUGGGGUAAAGGCCUACCAAGGCGACGAUCAGUAGCUGGUCUGAGAGGACGACCAGCCACACUGGGACUGAGACACGGACCAGACUCCUACGGGAGGCAGCAGUGGGGAAUGUUGGACAAUGGGCGAAAGCCUGAUCCAGCAAUGCCGCGUGUGUGAAGAAGGCCUUCGGGUUGUAAAGCACGUUUGUCCGGAAAGAAAUCCUUGAAUCUAAUACAGUCGGGGGAUGACGGUACCGGAAGAAUAAGCACCGGCUAACUACGUG